UUUGCAUAUUUCCAAAGCGGAGGAAAGGAAACCAACCGGGAUUGCCUUAGUAACGGCGAGUGAAGCGGCAAAAGCUCAAAUUUGAAAUCUGGUACCUUCGGUGCCCGAGUUGUAAUUUGGAGAGGGCAACUUUGGGGCCGUUCCUUGUCUAUGUUCCUUGGAACAGGACGUCAUAGAGGGUGAGAAUCCCGUGUGGCGAGGAGUGCGGUUCUUUGUAAAGUGCCUUCGAAGAGUCGAGUUGUUUGGGAAUGCAGCUCUAAGUGGGUGGUAAAUUCCAUCUAAAGCUAAAUAUUGGCGAGAGACCGAUAGCGAACAAGUACAGUGAUGGAAAGAUGAAAAGAACUUUGAAAAGAGAGUGAAAAAGUACGUGAAAUUGUUGAAAGGGAAGGGCAUUUGAUCAGACAUGGUGUUUUGUGCCCUCUGCUCCUUGUGGGUAGGGGAAUCUCGCAUUUCACUGGGCCAGCAUCAGUUUUGGUGGCAGGAUAAAUCCAUAGGAAUGUAGCUUGCCUCGGUAAGUAUUAUAGCCUGUGGGAAUACUGCCAGCUGGGACUGAGGACUGCGACGUAAGUCAAGGAUGCUGGCAUAAUGGUUAUAUGCCGCCCGUCUUGAACCACGGACCA
rnacentral:rRNA from 1 species